rnacentral:rRNA from 1 species
GAUCAUGGCUCAGAUUGAACGCUGGCGGCAGGCCUAACACAUGCAAGUCGAACGGUAACAGGAAGCAGCUUGCUGCUUCGCUGACGAGUGGCGGACGGGUGAGUAAUGUCUGGGAAACUGCCUGAUGGAGGGGGAUAACUACCGGAAACGGUAGCUAAUACCGCAUAAUGUCGCAAGACCAAAGAGGGGGACCUUCGGGCCUCUUGCCAUCGGAUGUGCCCAGAUGGGAUUAGCUUG